rnacentral:lncRNA from 1 species
CCAAAUCGAGUUUUCCACCUAUGUUUAUGGUUGGAAGGAAGUCAUAUUAAAUUGUUGGCCACUUUCGAACCACCAACUGGAAAUCUGGUCGAUCGGCCUGAAAGUAGUUGAUCCAUCUUUUUUCCCCUUAUACGAUCUGAUAGUUGGUAGAAUUUCAGUGUAUUCAACCGUGUGAAAAUACGUGGAGGUGUUGGCUUUUUUAUAAUGUUAAGAGCAACUUAACAACUCCC